CGCCGUAUCUGGUCAGGUAUCGAUCUGCGUAAGGCCGCAGCGUCGUCAUCGAUUGAUCCCGGCUCACUGAACUGCAUCGACUGCAGCUAGAGUCUGUAGAGGGUGAAUUCAGUGUAGCGGUGAAAUGCGUAAGAUCUGGAGAUACGUGGCGAAGCGGCCCCUGACAAGACUGACGCUCCAGUGCGAAAGCGUGGGGAGCAACAGGAUUAGAUACCCUGGUAGUUCACGCCGUAAACGAUGUCGACUUGGAGGUUGUGCCCUUGAGGCGUGGCUUCCGGAGCUAACGCGUUAAGUCGACCGCCUGGGGAGUACGGCCGCAAGGUUAAACUCAAAUGAAUUGACGGGGGCCCGCACAAGCGGUGGAGCAUGUGGUUUAAUUCGAUGCAACGCGAAGAACCUUACCUACUCUUGACAUCCAGAGAACUUACCAGAGAUGGAUUGGUGCCUUCGGGAACUCUGAGACAGGUGCUGCAUGGCUGUCGUCAGCUCGUGUUGUGAAAUGUUGGGUUAAGUCCCGCAACGAGCGCAACCCUUAUCCUUUGUUGCCAGCGGUUAGGCCGGGAACUCAAAGGAGACUGCCAGUGAUAAACUGGAGGAAGGUGGGGAUGACGUCAAGUCAUCAUGGCCCUUACGAGUAGGGCUACACACGUGCUACAAUGGCGCAUACAAAGAGAAGCGACCUCGCGAGAGCAAGCGGACCUCAUAAAGUGCGUCGUAGUCCGGAUUGGAGUCUGCAACUCGACUCCAUGAAGUCGGAAUCGCUAGUAAUCGUAGAUCAGAAUGCUACGGUGAAUACGUUCCCGGGCCUUGUACACACCGCCCGUCACACCAUGGGAGUGGGUUGCAAAAGAAGUAGGUAGCUUAACCUCGG
rnacentral:rRNA from 1 species